CCUACGGGUGGCAGCAGUGAGGAAUAUUGGUCAAUGGGCGCGAGCCUGAACCAGCCAAGUAGCGUGAAGGAUGACUGCCCUACGGGUUGUAAACUUCUUUUAUAAAGGAAUAAAGUGAGGCACGUGUGCCUUUUUGUAUGUACUUUAUGAAUAAGGAUCGGCUAACUCCGUGCCAUCAGCCGCGGUAAUACGGAGGAUCCGAGCGUUAUCCGGAUUUAUUGGGUUUAAAGGGAGAGUAGAUGGGUUUUUAAGUCAGUUGUGAAAGUUUGAGGCUCAACCGUAAAAUUGCAAUUGAUACUGGCAGUCUUGAGUACAGUUGAGGUAGGCGGAAUUCGUGGUGUAGCGGUGAAAUGCUUAGAUAUCACGAAGAACUCCGAUUGCGAAGGCAGCUUACUAAACUGCCACUGACAUUGAUGCUCGAAAGUGUGGGUAUCAAACAGGAUUAGAUACCCUUGUAGUC
rnacentral:rRNA from 1 species